GAUGAACGCUAGCGGCAGGCCUAACACAUGCAAGUCGAGGGGUAGAGGAAGCUUGCUUCCUUGAGACCGGCGCACGGGUGCGUAACGCGUAUGCAAUCUACCUUUUACAGAGGGAUAGCCCAGAGAAAUUUGGAUUAAUACCUCAUAGUAUUUUCGAAUGGCAUCAUUUGAUUAUUAAAGUUCCAACGGUAAAAGAUGAGCAUGCGUCCUAUUAGCUAGAUGGUAAGGUAACGGCUUACCAUGGCAACGAUAGGUAGGGGUCCUGAGAGGGAGAUCCCCCACACUGGUACUGAGACACGGACCAGACUCCUACGGGAGGCAGCAGUGAGGAAUAUUGGACAAUGGGCGCAAGCCUGAUCCAGCCAUGCCGCGUGCAGGAAGACGCAUCUAUGGUGUGUAAACUGCUUUUGUACGGGAAGAAACACUCCCUCGUGAGGGAGCUUGACGGUACCGUAAGAAUAAGGAUCGGCUAACUCCGUGCCAGCAGCAGCCGCCGUAA
rnacentral:rRNA from 1 species